rnacentral:lncRNA from 1 species
AUAAGCAGUUCUUAACUAUUUGUGAGCUUAGACCUAUUUUUGUUAUGGCUAAGAACCAGUCAACUUGACUGUGAUGAUUAAUCAAACAAUCAUAAACAGUGACUUUUAUUUCUGCAUCUUCACCUUCCUUCGCUUGUUGUUUCUCACUGUAAACUGGAAACAUCCCCGAACUUUACAAUGAAAGUCGUAUUCAGGUAGUCAAUUGAUUGCAUCACCAUCUUAUUGUAAUUCUUUGACAUUACAUCGUACUCUAGUAGUUCUUUUCAACGUUGUGUGUUUGUCUCAACGCGUCCUUUCACUGCUUCACUCAAGACCUUUUUUUCUUGAGUACGCGGACUUUGAAACAUUUCUAGCAAAUUUGUUUGGUGCACUUGGGAAAGGUACGACAACGCAGUCGAGUUGAGAAUAGGAUGAUCUUUAUACUUAUAGUGAAAAUGUGUGUACUCUCUUGGGGUUUUCAAGUUGAUCACUUUCUAGUCCUUCUUUCUACCAACAAUUAACUUGUUUGACUAGAAAUCUGCAACUAAUAAAAAAUGGAGAUGUGGUUUGAACACUACAAUAACUCCCAAAAUUUACUAUUUGUUAGGAAAGGUGAUUUUCUCGUUGUCUGUUUGCUUGGUUCAAGUUUUUGUGUUUACUAUUGAUAUGGUAGCCAUUUUCCCUUGAAUCCCAAGGUAUAGUUUCCAAAUAGAUUCGUUGUUGGCAUUAUGAGAAAGCUGCUUCUAGACUCUUAUACAAGUUUAGGCAAACAAAAACCUGACUAGAUUAUCAUCUGGAUAUGUGUAUUUUGUAGUUCCCCGUGCUAUGUAUCUUAUUUCCAAGUCUUUUGAGAAGCCUUCUUAAAGGCCACGUGUAGUAAGUUGUCGUUGACUACAUUAAUCCCUCAGACUAACGGCUAGUCUAAGCCAUUUACUUGGGCCUUCAUGAUGGGUUACGUUUAUUUAUUACUCAAUGAUUAUAGCAUGAUCGUAUAUGACAUUUAUCUCUGCUAGAAAUGCUUGUAACUACAGUUACAAAAAUUUUGAUCUUUGUUGUGACAUUAUUGAGAUUUGGGAAAAGAGAUUCUUUGCCUAGCACUUGUUGACAGAGGGGUUUUACGAACAAGUGAUCAAUUAUGAGAGUUCACAAUAUAGAAUUGUUUUAUUAAUAUUGUUACCCAAGGAGGGUAGUGCGUGAGCACGAUCGAGACUUUGAUUAUACAUUGUUAUAUAUUUCCAAUUGGGGCAUGAUUGUAAUAUUGCACCCUAAGGAAUUUGUUGCUUGCUUGUCAUGCCAAUAGUGAGUUGUUGAUAUCAUGGGCUGCAGACCGUAAUAUCAAUAACCUAUUUGUUGGAUUUGUUGAGUAAGUAAAUAGUUAGACCUUUUACGUUAGUGUACUUAUUGUAGUGUUUGUUGCUUCCACCUGCUUAUUACUUGGGCUCAACCCAAGGAUGCUAUGUACAUACUUUUGAGUACGCAACUUCUGAUUCCAUAGUUGAAAUGUUAUUUUUAGUUUAUCAAUACAACUAUUCUAACCUUAUGUUGCUAUAUAUAUAUGUAUGUAUGUAUAUGUAUAUAUAUUUUGACAUGACGUUAGUACAUAUAAAUAUUUUUGGCACUUUGUUUUUUGAGAAAACUAUUAUAUUAUAGGAUGGUACUGAAGAAGAAAGAGAGUAUGAGUUUGAGGCAGAAAUAAUGCACUCUAAAUUGCAACAGAGCGGCAUUUCCCUUUUUGAUGUAACCGCUCUCACUUAAUUUCUUCGUUACGUACAUAUAUUUUAUUCUUCCUAUCCUUUAAGUUUGUCAAGCAAAUGAUUUUAAAUUUCGGGGACGAAAUUUUCUUAAGGAGGGUAGAUUGUGACAACCCGUCCCUAACUUUACGUUUUUAUUUAUUUUAAUUGAGGGAAUUGACGAAAUGCCCUAGAGGCAAGGACUUGGACUUCCGUUGACCAUCGUUAGAAAA